CUCCCGGUAGCCCAAUGAGACAGUAUGUCUGGCUGCUAACCAGAAGGUUGGUAGUUCGAGUCCGCCCAGGGACA